GACGGACGCUGGCGGCGUGGAUUAGGCAUGCAAGUCGAACGGUAGGAUACCUUCGGGUAUCUGAGAGUGGCGAACGGGUGAGUAACACGUAGGUGAUCUACCCUCAAGAUUGGGACAACCCAGGGAAACUUGGGCUAAUACCGGAUGAAAGCAGCAGUGAUGUUGUUUGAAAGGUGGCGUAAGCUGCCGUUUGGGGAUGAGCCUGCGCUCUAUUAGUUAGUUGGCGGGGUAAAGGCCCACCAAGGCGAUGAUAGAUAGGCGGCCUUAACGGGUGGUCGCCCACACUGGGAUUGAGAUACGGCCCAGACUCCUACGGGAGGCAGCAGUCGAGAAUAGUCUACAAUGGCCGAAAGGCUGAUAGUGCGACGCCGCGUGAACGAAGAAGCCCUUCGGGGUGUAAAGUUCUUUUAUAUGUGAGCAGUGCUUUCUAUGUGAACAGCAUGGGGAGAGAGAUAUUAGCAAUAUGAAUAAGCAACGGCUAACUCCGUGCCAGCAGCCG
rnacentral:rRNA from 1 species